AAAGCUACAAGGUCUCCGUUGGUGAACCAGCGGAGGGAUCAUUACUGAGUUAUCAAAAACUCCAACCCUUUGUGAACCUACCUAUGUUUCCUCCGGCGUACCGCUGUAGCCUACCCGCAGGGCUCCCCCUUAGGGGGGUUUUGCUGGGGAGGUGCCUGAGUGCUACCUAUCCUUCGGGGUACGGUUAGUGCAGUGAAGGUGCCGACCAAGGCCUCGGCGGCGCCGAGUAGGACCGCUCCAAACUUAAGCACUUAGUGCAUCCAACCCCGCGUUGAACAACUAUCGAAAAUUUGCUUUUGCUUUUUUUCUUUACGCUAAAACGUCUUUCCCCGGUUGGAAUUAUUGCUCGAAAUGAUAAUUUCCUUACCCUGUAGUCGUUUGUUUUCAAGCUACAAUAUAUCUGCUCGAAUAAAAUUGCUUCAAUAUUUGCUCGAAAAUUGUUCAAAGCUCUGAGGGGUCUGAAUGAAUUCAUAAAAUUGGCAAAAGCCACCUAUAAACUACGGUUUUUAGGGGGUGAUCAAACCAAGGUUUUAAAAACCAAAUACGUUAAAACUUUCAACAACGGAUCUCUUGGUUCUGGCAUCGAUGAAGAACGCAGCGAAAUGCGAUAAGUAAUGUGAAUUGCAGAAUUCAGUGAAUCAUCGAAUCUUUGAACGCACAUUGCGCCCAUUAGUAUUCUAGUGGGCAUGCCUAUUCGAGCGUCAUUAUAACCCUUAAGCCUUGUUGCUUAGCGUUGGGAAUCUACCCCUCACUGAGGGGUAGUUCCUUAAAUGUAGUGGCGGGGUUAUAGCACACUCUAAGCGUAGUAGUUUAACUCGCUUUCAGGGAGGCUGUAGCUGCUUGCCGUAAAACCCCUUAUAACUUAUAGUGGUGACCUCGGAUAGGUAGAUGCCCGCCCC
rnacentral:rRNA from 1 species